ncrna:unclassified sequences RAGATH-30 RNA
GUAAAAAUAAGAAUUUAUCGAAAUAAUUUGCUUCGGCAAAAUCUGCAAGAUGCAGAAA